UUUUNGGCGCAGCGGGCUACAUGCAGUCGACGAACCUUCGGGUUAGUGGCGGACGGGUGAGUAACGCGUGAGAAUCUGCCCUCAGGAGGGGGAUAACGGUUGGAAACGACCGCUAAUACCCCAUAUGCCUACUGGUGAAAUGAAUUUCGCCUGAGGAUGAGCUCGCGUCUGAUUAGCUAGUUGGUGAGGUAAUGGCUCACCAAGGCUUCGAUCAGUAGCUGGUCUGAGAGGAUGAUCGAGACACUGGGACUGAGACGCGGCCCAAACUCCUACGGGAGGCAGCAGUGGGGAAUUUUCCGCAAUGGGCGAAAGCCUGACGGAGCAACGCCACGUGAGGGACGAAGGCCUCUGGGCUGUAAACCUCUUUUCUCAAGGAAGAAGAUAUGACGGUACUUGAGGAAUAAGCCACGGCUAAUUCCGUGCCAGCAGCCGCGGUAAUACGGGAGUGGCAAGCGUUAUCCGGAAUUAUUGGGCGUAAAGCGUCCGCAGGCGGCUUUUCAAGUCUGCUGUUAAAGCGUGGAGCUUAACUCCAUCAUGGCAGUGGAAACUGAAAGGCUUGAGUAUGGUAGGGGCAGAGGGAAUUCCCGGUGUAGCGGUGAAAUGCGUAGAUAUCGGGAAGAACACCAGUGGCGAAGGCGCUCUGCUGGGCCAUUACUGACGCUCAUGGACGAAAGCCAGGGGAGCGAAAGGGAUUAGAUACCCCUGUAGUCCUGGCCGUAAACGAUGAACACUAGGUGUCGGGGGAAUCGACCCCCUCGGUGUCGUAGCUAACGCGUUAAGUGUUCCGCCUGGGGAGUACGCACGCAAGUGUGAAACUCAAAGGAAUUGACGGGGGGCCGCACAAGCGGUGGAG
rnacentral:rRNA from 1 species